GGUGUUUAUUUUACUGCCAUCAAUGUUUGGAAUAUCUUUGGAGAUUACAGAAACAUACAUGAAAAUCCUUGUGAAAACUCUGGAAUGGGCCACUUUAAAG